UCCACCUGCCUCUGCCUCCAAGUGCUGGGAUUAAAGGCGUGCGCCACCACGCCCGGCUCCCAAAUGUAAAAUAUUUGGUUCGUUAAUAUUCUUUGGUCUAAAAGUAGAUUCAACAAUCUACCCCUUUAUCCUAUUAUUUCUAACUUCUCUCUCUUUCUCUAACACUAGAUAGGAGAGAGAGAGACGGACAGAGGAAAGAAACAGAAAUCCCUGAAUCUAACCUCUCUGACCAAGACCACUAAUAAUCCUCCCACUGAGUAACCAAAUCCACCCACAUCAAUUUUUGGGAAUGAGAUGCCAUUCUCUUAAAAUUGCUUCCUGCAAUCUGGGGGUGUCAGCCCCUUUUAGGAGUCUGUAUAAAAUUGGGACAUGGCCAGUCUCAAGAAAGCUAGCUGUAACAUUUGUUGUCCAGUCCCUCUGUGAUGGGAAAGUGCAGGGCUUAAAUGAAGUCCUGACUGUUUGGCUGGAAGUAGCAGGAUGCUGGAAUAAAUAUGUCUCAGCAUCCUUCUCAGCGUCCUUCAGGGUGAGUCUUGUCAGGGCCGCUCUAACAUCACUGGGGUUUGGUUGUUUGUCUCUGUGAACCUACAAGCUUUUAACUGUAAUACACAUUUUUGCAUGAAUGCAUGUUUGGCAUGUUAAAGGUGAUUCUUUGAGCAGGCAAAAGUUAGUUUGAACUAUAUAACCAACCUGUAAUACAAAUUUUCAUCGAUGCCAUUUGAAGGAUGGCAUGUAAUAAUUCCUGAAGAUUCUGUAGCCAACAAGAUCUGUUGGCUUUACAGAGACACUGUCAUGUGUCAGCCUGUCUCAGAAAUGUUCCCACGUCCAGAGGCAGCACAAACUUUACCUGUUUUAUUCUUCUUGGUUUCUCCCAUCCUGCUAUAGGCUAUAGGCAGGAUGGGACCUUCAGGAGGUCUGUCAGAUCUAAUCUUUAUUAUGAUGGAACCCCUAGCUUUUCUUCUGUUAAAACCAAGGCAAAACCUCUUCUCUAACGUAACGUAUUUCCUACCUUCCAUUAAAGACAUCCUUAUAAUAUAUAGGUUGGUUUAUUUCCAUUAAAGACAUCCAUAUAAUAUAUAGGUUGGUUUAUUUCCAUUAAAGACAUCCUUAUAAUAUAUAGGUUGGUUUAUUUCGGCAAUUUUUCCCCAUAGCCCAAUGUCUCUCAGUAGCUCUUGUGUUUUACUCCUUUGAAGUAUAGCUAAAUCCUUUCACAAUUGUCCAACUUGUAGGAUUAUGAGAUAUGCCAGUAAUAUAUUUUCUGCCAUAAUAUCUAAAAUAUCGUAUUCUAAGAAUACAUAUAUUAAAGUACCAUCAACUUUAGUCUGUAAAGGAUUUCCAAGAUAGCCACCAUCUCUAAUAAAUGUGCAGUCUCACAAUCAGCCUUUUUAGAAUUCAAGGCAGAAACAUCAAAAUCUUGACUACCAAUUGUUUGAUGUAUUAAAAUAUAUACAUAUAUUAAUUCUCCAAACUCUAUAAAAUGAAAUAUAUAAUCUAUUGUAUGACAUUGUUCUGAACAUAAUCUUUAUUCUUAACUCAGCAUAGUCUCUUUAUUUAGGAAUUUAAUAGGUUGGCAUUCUGCAAUCUUGUCACAAGGUGGCUCUGUAGGCUUUGGAUUGGGUUCCUCCAAAGAUCCUUUUUCUGAGAGGAUUUUACAAUCCGUUUAUUAUUAUUGCUAACACUGGCAUUUAAUAUUUCAAUCUUUUCCAUUUGUAAGUUUGCUUUCUUUUGAUUUUUAAAAAA